rnacentral:rRNA from 1 species
GAUGAACGCUGGCGGCGUGCCUAAUACAUGCAAGUCGAGCGAAGCGGGGACGGGUGAGUAACACGUGGAUAACCUCCUAUAAGACUGGGAUAACUUCGGGAAACCGGAGCUAAACCGGAUACUUAUAGUUGGAUCCGCGCUGCAUUAGCUAGUUGGUAAGGUAACGGCUUACAAAGGCAACGAUGCAUAGCCGACCUGAGAGGGUGAGCGGCCAAACAGGAACUGUGAAACGGUCCAGCUCACGACGGAGGGCAGCAGUAGGAAAUCUUCCGAACUGGGCGAAAUCCUGACGGAGAAACGCCGCGUGAGGGAUGAAGGUUUUCGGAUCGUAAAACUCUGUUAUUAGGGAAGAGGUACCUAAUCAGAAAGCCACGGCUAACUACGUGCCAGCAGCCGCGAUAAUUC